UGUAAAUUGAUCCUAAACCUCAGGGAGCGCUUCGCGGAGUGGGACCCCAUCGGCUGCACCGCGAGCCCCCGCAGGCAGCAGGAACUCGGGCGAAAGUUUUGCCACGAUCCAGUCCUGCUCCUGCUCUUUCCAAAUGGAUCCUGGAUACAGUUCAUGCCUUCACCUUGCCUGGGAUGCUUGGUAUUUCUUUUUUACCGGAACCUGGCCCUGGCAUACCUCUUCAGAUCCAGUGGGACUACAACCCUGUGGUCAUCCCUUUCUCUUGGCUCACCUCAGCAUGGCAGGAAGGAUCACUGAACCUGAAUGCCUCACAGCACCUGGGAGCCGAAAACCACGGCUUGGGGGGCACAAGCUGUGACAACUUACUCCAUCCUGCAGGAGAAAGGAAUCUUGCUCCUGACUUCCACCACAGAUGUGUGAGGGUCAGGCUGUUCCCAUGGGAAGAAGGUGGUGUGCUGAAAGUAUGUUCCCUGUAUCAGAAUUGUAACAUCCACUGCAGAUGCACCUCGGUGCUUCCGUAUUGUCAGCCUUCCUAAACAGUAGCUGCCCAUUCGGGUGCUCCUGCUCCAGGGAGGAUUUCAGCCAAGGAAUCCAAUGAUCCCUCUCUUACCAUUGCAAGUUGUUUGCUGCACUUCAAUAACCUUGUCACUGAUUUUGGUCUGGAGCUGCCCCUUCAACAAAGGACAAAGCUUGGUAGGAUCCUUUAUUAACAGUGAGGAAGCAUGGGGUGUUCCUUCACUGUUGCUUCCUGUUCUUCCCUUGCACUGACAGCAAUCUGACUCUGCUUUGGUUCCCUGGAGCUACACUGGCGUUUCUGUAAUUUUGGGUGGACAAGAGGUGGGAGUUGGGAGACCCUGGAACUGUGCUUCGUUGGCUGAGAGGAAGACAGCACAGAGAAAGCACAGCAAUCUGCUUGGGGCUUGCAAGAUAUCCAGCCUACGAUGGCCUAAGUUACCCUCUCUGGGUUUGCAGCGAGACAGAAGUGCUGGCAUAUUGACCAUAUCACAGAAUCACAGGGUGGUUUGGGUUGGGAGGGACCUUAAAGCUCAUGUCAUUCGUGUCCAUGUCCCAUAGACAGGGACAACUUCCACUAUCCCAGGCUGCUCCAAGCCCCGUCCAGCCUGGCCUUGGACACUGCCAGGGAUCCAGGGGCAGCCACGGCUUCUCUCAGCAACCUGUGCCAGGGUCUCACCUCCCUCACAGUCAGGAAUGUCUUCCAAAUAUCCAAUCCAAAUCUCCGGUCUUCAAGUCCAUUAAUCCUCCCGAGGACUCAUUUUCUUGGGACUCCUAAAGGGAAAGCAGCGACAGAAUUCCAGCUGAGCUCCGGAGGAGCGUGAAGGGUUACGGAGAGCUGUGUGGUGACAGGCGGUCCUGGGCAAGGCUGAGCAUGUCCUGUGGAGGCCAGCCAGCAGGGCUGACCUGAUGUAACUGGGAGCUGGCGCUGGAUGCUUAACUUCAAAUGGCCCAGGGACUGAACAGAUGGCUCCUCUUUAUUUGCAUGCUACUUGGAUUUGUGAGUCAAACAGAAGAAUAACUUAAUUUUUGACAUUUGCUUCUCCUCAGAGCCCGGCACAAUUUAUGUUAUACUGGCAUUUGCGUGAAGGAUGUUGCUUUAGGCACUAAACCCAUCCUGGCUUUAACCCUAGAAGGAGCCAAAUAGGCAGGAAUCAUAUUCCUCCCCAGCUCUUUUGUAGGCUCUGCCAGGGGAUAUCACACUUACACAGUGACCAAAGAAUCAGGAGAAAACAGUCAUUUGGGGCUUGUGGAAGGAAGGGGCAGGGUUGGAGUUAAACUGGACUGGAAAAUAUCUCAUUUGUAGGCCUGAAAUGAGAGACUGUUUGUGGAUGAGGUUUACCUCCUAUUAAAAAUACCCUUCAAGGCCUGUGCAGUUCGUCUUGAGCACAGGGGAUAAAUUUAGUAGAGUCUUGUUCCUGCUGACAUAAACUAAAGUGAAAAUAAUAUAUACAGCCAGGGCACAACAUCUGCAAGCCAAUUAAAAACCUGGCUGAUCGCAUCCCAGAUGACAGUUGCCAUGACUAGUGUGUCUGCGUGCCACCGCUUUGAGAGGGAAAAAAACCGAUCCUGCUUGGCUGUGCAGCAUCUCUAUACAUCUUCCAAUGCCCACGACAGCUAAUGGUGAUUAUUUGAUAGCUGGAGUUCCAGCAGCAUGUCCUCCUCACCCUGACGCCUCUGCCUGCUGUCCCCAGUAAUCCUGCUUGGUCAUAUACGGGAUGUUUGUGGGUUUGACUCUACGUC